rnacentral:rRNA from 1 species
UACCUGCAGCCCAAGUGGUGGCCGUUAUUAUUGGGCCUAAAACGUUCGUAGCCGGUUUGGUAAAUGCCUGGGUAAAUCGUAUAGCUUAACUAUACGAAUUCCGGGUAGACUGUCAAACUUGGGAUCGGGAGAGGUUAGAGGUACUCCUGGGGUAGAGGUGAAAUUCUGUAAUCCUAGGGGGACCACCAGUGGCGAAGGCGUCUAACCAGAACGAGUCUGACGGUGAGGGACGAAGCCCUGGGGCGCAAACCGGAUUAGAUACCCGGGUAGUCCAGGGUGUAAACGCUGCUUGCUUGAUGUUAGUUGGGCUCCGAGCCCAACUAGUGUCGGAGAGAAGUUGUUAAGCAAGCUGCCUGGGAAGUACGGUCGCAAGACUGAAACUUAAAGGAAUUGGCGGGGAGCACAGCAACGGGUGAGCGUGCGGUUU